UACAGAGGUCUCAAGCGUUGUUCGGAUCAUUGGGCGUAAAGGGUGCGUAGGUGGCGCGAUAAGUCGGGUGUGAAAUCUCGGAGCUUAACUCCGAAAUUGCAUUCGAUACUGCCGUGCUCGAGGACUGGAGAGGAGACUGGAAUUUACGGUGUAGCGGUGAAAUGCGUAGAUAUCGUAAGGAAGACCAGUGGCGAAGGUGGGUCUCUGGACAGUUCCUGACGCUGAGGCACGAAGGCCAGGGAGCAAACGGG
rnacentral:rRNA from 1 species